AACGAGGCCGACCUGCGGCUGAGUUACCUGCGGAAGGAUCAUUACACAAUACAAUAUGAAGGCUGUCCGCAGCUGGAGUAUUUUAUUACCCUUGUCUUUUGCGCACUUGUUGUUUCCUGGGCGGGUUCGCUCGCCACCAGGACCACCAAAUAAACCUUUUUUAUGCAGUUGCAAUCAGCGUCAGUACAAACAAUGUAAAUCAUUUACAACUUUUAACAACGGAUCUCAGAUCGGAAGAGC
rnacentral:misc_RNA from 1 species